AUUGAACGCUGGCGGCAGGCCUAACACAUGCAAGUCGAGCGAGCGGCGGACGGGUGAGGAAUGUCUGGGAAACUGCCUGAUGGAGGGGGAUAACUACUGGAAACGGGAGCUAAUACCGCAUACCAUCAGAUGUGCCCAGAGGGGAUUAGCUAGUAGGUGGGGUAACGUCUCACCUAGGCGACGAUCCCUCGAUGGUCUGAGCGGAUGACCAGCCCCCCUGGAACUGAGACACGGUCCGACAGCCGACGGGAGCGAGCAGUGGGGAGUAUUGGACAAUGGGCGCAAGCCUGAUGCAGCCAUGCCGCGUGUGGGAAGAAGGCCUUCGGGUUGUAAAGCACUUUCAGCGGGGAGGCGUUACCCGCACAAGAAGCACCGGCUAACUCCGUGCCAGCAGCCGCGGUAAUUC
rnacentral:rRNA from 1 species